GGGCGUAGAGGGCUCGCAGGCGGUUUCUUAAGUCUGAUGUGAAAGCCCCCGGCUCAACCGGGGAGGGUCAUUGGAAACUGGGGAACUUGAGUGCAGAAGAGGAGAGUGGAAUUCCACGUGUAGCGGUGAAAUGCGUAGAGAUGUGGAGGAACACCAGUGGCGAAGGCGACUCUCUGGUCUGUAACUGACGCUGAGGAGCGAAAGCGUGGGGAGCGAACAGGAUUAGAUACCCUGGUAGUCCACGCCGUAAACGAUGAGUGCUAAGUGUUAGGGGGUUUCCGCCCCUUAGUGCUGCAGCUAACGCAUUAAGCACUCCGCCUGGGGAGUACGGUCGCAAGACUGAAACUCAAAGGAAUUGACGGGGGCCCGCACAAGCGGUGGAGCAUGUGGUUUAAUUCGAAGCAACGCGAAGAACCUUACCAGGUCUUGACAUCCUCUGACAAUCCUAGAGAUAGGACGUCCCCUUCGGGGGCAGAGUGACAGGUGGUGCAUGGUUGUCGUCAGCUCGUGUCGUGAGAUGUUGGGUUAAGUCCCGCAACGAGCGCAACCCUUGAUCUUAGUUGCCAGCAUUCAGUUGGGCACUCUAAGGUGACUGCCGGUGACAAACCGGAGGAAGGUGGGGAUGACGUCAAAUCAUCAUGCCCCUUAUGACCUGGGCUACACACGUGCUACAAUGGACAGAACAAAGGGCAGCGAAACCGCGAGGUUAAGCCAAUCCCACAAAUCUGUUCUCAGUU
rnacentral:rRNA from 1 species